UCGCAGAUAUAUUUGUGGAUUUGAAAAACACGUGUGAAUCGCGGAUACAUUUGUGGAUUUGAAAAACCCUCGUGCAAACAAUUUUGAGACACGUCUCUGCCCAUACUAAUCGAUUUUGCCGUGUUCUGUACGUCCUCGCUGUGAAUGCAGCGUGUCAUUAAACUCCGGUCAGUAGGUGGCGGUAGACAAUACCUCCACCAAGACGCGCAGCGUGGUCUGCCAGAAAAGAAGAGGUUCAAGACGAAGCGGGUCGCUAGCACACGAACAACACACGAAGAUGAAUGUAUUGAAAAUUAUUUCAAGCGAAUCACGAAAAAGCCUCGUCCCGAGGACACACGCCAACAUGAGGUACAGUUCGGAAGCAACAGAAAGCACAAGCCUACAGCUAAGACAGGCCCAGGAAGAAGGGCUUUGUUGAGUUUGGAGCAGAAGUUGACCGAACAGAACUCUGAACGCCCGGCAUAUCACAAGGAGAAAGCAUCUCUCACACUCACCUUUUACAAAUGAAUAGGUUUUGGUGAAAACAGACCUCCGCCAUCGCUGACAAGGAGAACACCUGGCUGCCUGCUGUAAAAUAUCUGUUAAUGGACGUGAUCCUGUGGACUUCAAUUUUGAAAAGAUUUAGCAACAUCUUUUAGGAAGCCAUGUAAAAUUCACCAUUUCGUACUUCUUUUGAUUUGUUACCCACGUUAUUUCUUAUUUCAGGAAGCAAUUAUAUUUUUAUUGGAAUUUAGAAAGUUAUUUGGUGUUUGAUAUUAUACUUUACAUUAAUUUGUAUUUAUCUAAGUUAGCGAAUGUAAUGUUUUUAUUGAAUUUCUUAUUCGGUGCUUGUUUAAACAAUUUAUCUAAAUCCAUAAAAACGGCCACCAUUUUCCUUCCAAUUUUUCGGUGCU